rnacentral:rRNA from 1 species
AGUGAACGCUGGCGGUAGGCCUAACACAUGCAAGUCGAACGGCAGCACAGUAAGAGCUUGCUCUUACGGGUGGCGAGUGGCGGACGGGUGGGGAAUACAUCGGAAUCUACUUUUUCGUGGGGGAUAACGUAGGGAAACUUACGCUAAUACCGCAUACGACCUACGGGUGAAAGCAGGGGAUCUUCGGACCUUGCGCGAUUGAAUGAGCCGAUGUCGGAUUAGCUAGUUGGCGGGGUAAAGGCCCACCAAGGCGACGAUCCGCAGCUGGUCUGAGAGGAUGAUCAGCCACACUGGAACUGAGACACGGUCCAGACUCCUACGGGAGGCAGCAGUGGGGAAUAUUGGACAAUGGGCGCAAGCCUGAUCCAGCCAUACCGCGUGGGUGAAGAAGGCCUUCGGGUUGUAAAGCCCUUUUGUUGGGAAAGAAAAGCAGCAGGUUAAUACCCCGCUGUUCUGACGGUACCCAAAGAAUAAGCACCGGCUAACUUCGUG